AUUGAACGCUGGCGGCAGGCCUAACACAUGCAAGUCGAACGAGUGGCGGACGGGUGAGUAAUGUCUGGGAAACUGCCUGAUGGAGGGGGCUAACUACUGGAAACGGUAGCUACUACCGCAUACCAUGCGAUGUGCUCAGAGGGGAUGAGCUGGUUGGUGGGGUAACGGCUCACCAAGGCGACGAGCCCUAGCUGGUCUGAGAGGGUGACCGGCCACACUGGAACUGAGACACGGUCCAGACUCCUACGGGAGGCAGCAGUGGGGAAUAUUGGGCAAUGGGCGAAAGCCUGAUGCAGCCAUGCCGCGUGAAUGAAGAAGGUCUUCGGGUUGUAAAGCUCUUUUGGCAGGGAGGCGUUACCCGCCGAAGAAGCACCGGCUAACUACGUGCCAGCAGCCGCGGUAAUUC
rnacentral:rRNA from 1 species